AACAGAACGGGACUGGUGUGAGCCAGGCACAGUCCUAACACACCGGUUUUUUCCUUUUCUCGGCCAUCACUGGUGAGCGCAGGUCUGACUCGGGCCAGGUUUCAGUUGCUCGCUCUGAGCUGUCAGUGGUGGUAAAGCCUACAGGCCGCUUCCGGAGGCCUGCUGCCGGCCCUGGUCGUCCGCUCUGCCAUCACGCCCCCACUCUGGAUUUCCAGUUCUACAGCCAUGAAAUAAGAGCUGAGCCUGGGCCCAUCUC
rnacentral:lncRNA from 1 species